GACGAACGCUGGCGGCGUGCUUAACACAUGCAAGUCGAACGGAAAGGCUCUGCUUUUGUGGGGUGCUCGAGUGGCGAACGGGUGAGUAACACGUGAGUAACCUGCCCUUGACUUUGGGAUAACUUCAGGAAACUGGGGCUAAUACCGGAUAGGAGCUCCUGCUGCAUGGUGGGGGUUGGAAAGUUUCGGCGGUUGGGGAUGGACUCGCGGCUUAUCAGCUUGUUGGUGGGGUAGUGGCUUACCAAGGCUUUGACGGGUAGCCGGCCUGAGAGGGUGACCGGCCACAUUGGGACUGAGAUACGGACCAGAGUCCUACGGGAGGCAGCAGGGGGGAAUAUUGCACAAUGGGCGGAAGCCUGAUGCAGCAACGCCGCGUGCGGGAUGACGGCCUUCGGGUUGUAAACCGCUUUCGCCUGUGACGAAGCGUGAGUGACGGUAAUGGGUAAAGAAGCACCGGCUAACUACGUG
rnacentral:rRNA from 1 species